UUGUCCUUGUGUUGUUUGUAGUACUCAUGUCAUGGUACUAUAAUUGUCAAAAAGGACGUAUAGAAAAUAUCUUUAUAACGUUAUCCAUUUCAACAUUA